GACGAACGCUGGCGGCGUGCUUAACACAUGCCAGUCGAACGGAAAGGCCCUGCUUUUGUGGGGUGCUCGAGUGGCGAACGGGUGAGUAACACGUGAGUAACCUGCCCUUGACUUUGGGAUAAAUUCAGGAAACUGGGGCUAAUACCGGAUAGGAGCUCCUGAUGCAUGGUGGGGGUUGGAAAGUUUCGGCGGUUGGGGAUGGACUCGCGGGUUAUCAGCUUGUUGGUGGGGUAGUGGCUUACCAAGGCUUUGACGGGUAGCCGGCCUGAGAGGGUGACCGGCCACAUUGGGACUGAGAUACGGCCCAGACGCCUACGGGAGGCAGCAGUGGGGAAUAUUGCACAAUGGGCGGAAGCCUGAUGCAGCAACGCCGCGUGCGGGAUGACGGCCUUCGGGUUGUAAACCGCUUUCGCCUGUGACGAAGCGUGAGUGACGGUAAUGGGUAAAGAAGCACCGGCUAACUACGUG
rnacentral:rRNA from 1 species